UUCUACUCUGAAAGAAUAGUUGAACCAACUUAAAUGAAUUGUUUCAAUUGGUAACAUCUAAAUUGUUGAAGUUGUUUUGAACUUAAGUUAAUAAGUUAGAUCAAUUCCAACUUAGAAAGUUUAAACAAUCCAUUU